AUUGAACGCUGGCGGAAUGCUUUACACAUGCAAGUCGAACGGCAGCACGGGAGCUUGCUCCUGGUGGCGAGUGGCGAACGGGUGAGAAAUAUAUCGGAACGUAUCCAAUAAUGGGGAGUAACUAGUCGAAAGAUUAGCUAAUACCGCAUACGCCUGAGGGGGAAAGCUGGGAUCUUCGGACCUAGCGUUAAUGGAGCGGCCGAUAUCUGAUUAGCUAGUAGGUGAGGUAAAAGCUCACCUAGGCGACGAUCAGUAGCUGGUCUGAGAGGACGACCAGCCACACUGGAACUGAGACACGGUCCAGACUCCUACGGGAGGCAGCAGUGGGGAAUUUUGGACAAUGGGCGCAANCCUGAUCCAGCCAUUCCGCGUGAGUGAAGAAGGCCUCGGGUUGUAAGCUCUUUCGCAAGGGAAGAAAACUUAACCUCUAACAUAGGUUGAGGCUGACGGUACCUUGAUAAGAAGCACCGGCUAACUACGUGCCAGCAGCCGCGGUAAUACGUAGGGUGCGAGCGUUAAUCGGAAUUACUGGGCGUAAAGCGUGCGCAGGCGGCCUGAUAAGUCAGAUGUGAAAGUCCCGAGCUCAACUUGGGGAACUGCGUUUGAAACUAUCAAGCUAGAAUAUGUC
rnacentral:rRNA from 1 species